rnacentral:lncRNA from 1 species
GAAUUAUCGACGCUACAAUCCAAUGGAGAACAUGAUGCUAUUGAAGUGCAGGGCUGAUGUGUAUCAAAGCUACAUCUAGUAUGUUGAAGCAGGAAGUUUCAUUCCAUUUAUUUCAAAUAUGAAAAAUUCGAACUUCCAGUAUUUGGGCAUCAAGCGUCUUUGUGUUUGAUUCCCUUUUUUUUUUUUUUUUUCUUGUUUGUGCUUUUUUACCUUUUUUUAAACAUGUUAAGUUGUUUUAUUUGGGAAGGAAUUUUACUGUAAUAUAUUCAGCCCUACAAACUGAAAUAUUCGACUUUUUGUUCAAGCAUAGAGCUUUAGCCUUGUUUGGUAUCUGAGCAUAUCUUGCAAAUAAAGCAUACUUCAAUUUUGAACCAAAUCAAUCUUCAGGCUUCAUUAUUGCAGCCUAUUAACCUGCUUUCUUGUAAUGACCCAUUUUCUUAGGAUAAAAUUAAUAUUAAUCCUUACCAAAAGCUUUCUUUAAAUUAUACGAGUUGACAUGCAAUUUCAUAUUAAAAUUUUAAAAUAAGACUAAAAAGAAAUCAAACUACUAUUUCUACACUACCAUAAAAGAGAGAAUGAGGGUUUACUGUUUAUUUUUAUCACACUCAUUUUCACACUUAACUGGUUAGGAAACUAGUUUGACAAUAGGAAAAAUGUUAUUCAAAAAUACUGUAGGAAUUUUGUCACAUACUAUUGUCCACUGCAAUAUUUCUCCCUUGCUUUGAACUGACACGCCAUGCUCUUUCUCCUAAUUUUCACACUAUUAACUAUCAACCAUAUCUUAUAUAUUUAAAUUUUGAAAAUUAUAUUAAUAAACAAAAUUAUUGUAAAUAAAAUGUAAAAAAAAAAAAUAUUACUUUGUGUAUGGAGAAAAAAAUUACGUCAUACCACAUAAUUUUUCUUGAGCAAAAUGAUGUAUUGAGAAAAUUGUUGCGAAAAAAUAAUAAAUAGUAAUAAAAUAAUUGAUUUUUUGAAGAAAAAAUGAUUUAUACGCAUUUUUUAACACAUACGUUUAAUGUCCGUUUAACUAUUUUCGAUAUUAAUUUACAUCAUUCGAUGUGUCGAUGAUAUAUUUCUCGAAAUGAGUUUCGAGAGAAUGUAAAACAUUUAUCGAUUCGACUAUCGUAUAAUGGUCGAUGAAUUUUUUGAGUUAACUUGUUAUCGAAAAUUUCGAAAUAUAGUUUGAAAAUGCUUGUUUUGACGUCCCAUAACAUUUGCUACCAUUAGCCGUUUCACGUACCAUUAACGACGUGCAACACUAUGUCGCGAGUACUUUAAUAUAAUAUUAAGAAUGUAAUAUUUCGACUUCGUUUGAUAUCCCUUAAUGAGCCUAAAAAUGAACAAAAAAACAUAAGUUAAAAAAAAGACGAAACAUGUAGUUAACCUCCGUGCACGGAGGAUUGGAAGGUCCGUGCACGGAGCUUCUUUGCCUCACUCCGUGCACGGACCAAUGUUCCGACUAAUGCACGUUUUUUUUUAUUUGUCGUAAAUUCUCUUAUUAAUAUUUAAUUUUAAAUAAUUAAAUAUAUUUAAAUAUUUGCUUACAAAUGUUAAAAUUAAUAUUUUUUACCUAUAAAUAACAUAUAACAUUACAAAUUUUUUAUUACUUUUAAAUAACUUUAGCUGAUUUUUUUACUUAUAGUGUAAUCUUUUUAUUAGUAUUUAAUUUAAUAAACUAAAUAUAUCUAAAUAUUUAUAAUUAAAAAAUUUUAAGUUAACAUUUUUUAUAUAUAUAUUAGUAGCUUUUGCAAUUAUAUAUAAGAGAUUUAGAAUCUAAAAUGUAAAGAGUUACUUACUAUUAUAGUAAUAGGUAAAAAAAAAAAAUGGUAAAAAAAAAACUCAUAAUGGUAUUUUUGUCACGUACGUUUUCACAUUGAACUGGUUUGAAAUGUUUGGUUCAAAUGGUUUGUCUUUUUUAUUUAAUAUAACAUAAUAAAUAAAUAAAAAUAUAAAAAAUAUAUAAAGUAAUGUACUAUCUAUCACUUUCUCAAGUUAUCUAGUCUCUUUCCUUCCUUCAAUUGGAUUGAUUUGUCUCCAAAAAGUUCAAGCUUUCGUCUACAAAAGAACUUUCCAUAUUUAAAACUUUUGAUAUUCUUCUGUCUUUCUAUACGAAAAAAAUUCGUGUAGUCGUCAUAUCGAUCUUGGAGAAGAAAAUCUUGGAAUUUGUAACGAUUCUGUUUGGGUAUGUCCUUGGAAAUUUUAGUUUUUAUUUGUGUUUUUUAUUUAUUUUUUUUUUAUUUAUUUAACAUAUGUUGUUUUUUAUUCUGUCUACAGAUGAAAAUUUAGCUUCGCUCAUAUUUUUCUAUUUAAUGUGAAGUAUGUUAUUCUUUCUGUAUAUACAUGAACAUCUAAGUAAUCUUUAUUUGUUGGAUAUAGCUAUGAAGGUUUUAUUUUUUUCCUUUUUUUUUUCCCUUUCAUAUGUAUUUAUUUCUUACUAUUUUUUUCAGGUUUAAGUAAUGUAACAUAAUUUUUCAUGGAAUUUGUAACGAUUUUGUUUGAGUAUGUUCUUGGAAAUUUUGGUUUUGGUUUUUGUUUGUAUUUUUUAUUUUUUAGUUUUUAUUUAUUUAUUUAACAUAUGUUGUUUUUUAUUUUAUCUACAGAUGAAAAUUUAGCUUCGCUCAUAUUUUUCUACGUAAUGUGAGGUAUGUUAUUCUUUCUGUAUAUACAUGAAAAUUUAAGUAAAUUUUUCUUUAUUUUUUGGAUAUAGCUAUGAAAGUUUUAUUUUUUUUUUCUUUCAUAUGUAUUUAUUUCUUAUUAUUUUUUUCAGGUUUAAGUAAUGUAACAUAAUUUUUUUAUUCUGUGUAUACAACUUGGCUACGUUUUUCUUUUUUUACCGUUAUCUACAUGAGAAGUUUAAGUUUUUCGAUCAUUAUUGUUUAUGCUUAAUGGAGAUUACAACAGUUUGGUACAUGAAUGUUUGAUUGUUAUCGUCCAGUUAGUACGGUUUAUAGUUCUUUUUUUACGUGCAUUUUCGAAGAGGAUUGUUGAUUUGCGGAAUGUUUCCUAAUAUUUAUCUGAGUUCAGUCAAUUUAGUUUAUACUGUGUUUAAUGUAAUAUUAUCAUUAUUUGUUGGUUUUUAAUUAAAUUCAUAAUUUCUUCUAUUAUUGAAAUCAGAGGUCAGUUCAUUGUUUUCAUGGAUUCUUUCGAAAAAUCUAUGAAUGAAAAGUUUGGUCGUUUUGAUUUUCAAACUUUAUCCCAAAGCACAAGUCAAUCAUAUAAUGUUUUCAUUCGGUAACAAUAAAAUCGAAGGCAGACGAAUAGGUGAUAUCGAAAUGAAACUGUAAGUAUUGAUCGUCGUAAAAGAAUAAAUGAUCGUAUGUUAUCUACAAAUAAUUCUUUUGGAGUUGAUUAUGGGCAUGAAUAUAUAAUACAUUCUGACGCAUAUACAAAAAUAGCCAAAACGAAAAACAAGUUAAAAUGAAAAAAUCUCAUAGUCUUGUCAAAUUUCCAUCACUUUGAUUUUUUUUGUACACUAAAAAUUCCGGAGGUUCGUUAUUUAGUAGUUCAAAUACGCAUGUAUCACCCAUUUCUAAUUCCUUCAUGGAGAGAAAAUGUGCCCAUCCUAUAGUGAGACUUCGUACCACAUCAUUUGGCCUUAAAUUUGUGGUGAUAUCCCAAUUUUGAUGUGAAGAGUCGUGAAUUUGAACACUAAGCACGAAUUUUGGCAAAUGCUGGCUGGCAAAUCUUCCUAGUAUAUACUGCAAUGCCAUGAAAGAAUUAUUAGCCUUGAGGUCAUAAUUAUAGACUUAGUACAACUAUAGAAUGAAAAUAUUUAUUCAAAAGGAAAAUUACAAUUUUUCGAUGGCCAUAUUUACGGGGUGUUAACUUCAUUUCGAAUACAGGAUUAUCCAUAUUCGAAUUGUUGCUUUCUUCACCUUCUUCAGAGACGUCCAACUCAUAUUUCACUUCUAACCCAGAAUCAUCCAUUAUGAUCACGUUAAAUGUGGAAUUUUGGGUAUAUUCAAAUAUUAGGCAAUAACCAUCGUGUAAAUUGUGAUGAUCAAAAAAUUGCUCCCAUCCAUCAGUUUAAAUAAAUUUUCCCAUUAAGUGUUUCUAAUUUUAUUGUCGCAAUUAUACCAUCGUACGCAAUUACACGUACUGUAUCGCCGAAUUCAUGUCUCCAGUCUUUCGCAAACGCUCUAGGAAUCAUCUAUAAAUAAAUAUAUACGGACGAAAACAAUAAGUAAAAGAUGAGAAAAAAUCAUUCCAGCUAAAAAAUAAUAAUAUUGUAUGACUAACCAGAUUGAUGCCAUAAUUGAGGGAAUUACUGAUAGUUAUGUAAAAAUGACGUGGAACAUCCAUUUCGAAGCACUGCAGUGGUACAAUUUUUACAGCGAUAAUAUGUACAUAUUUUUUUCAUAUGAGUGAUUGAAUAAGUUUUUAUAACAUUAUAAUAAAAAGAAUAAGAGAUUGUGUGCAUACAUAGAUUUUUUCGUACAAAUCAGUCGAUCUUUGAAUAAGUUAUAACUUAAAAUUAUAGAAUUAAAAUAUAAGACGUAAAAUAUAAGAGUGUAAAUAGAUAAAGACCUGUUUCAGCGAAGCACCAACAAGUCUGGAGUAAGAUAUGCAAAUUUGGAAGGCUAAAAAUUCUAAUAAGUAAUAAUAUAAUCCAGGAGUCGAGCCCGACGAAGGCAAGUGCGAGACGAGACCUUUUGAUAGUCGAUGGCGAACCAAUGACGCGAUCAAGGGCAAAGCAAGUGAAACAAGCGAUGAGAUUGCUCGUUCAAGAAACCAUCGAUGGAACCAUGUUUGGGACUCAAAAUGGAGCAACUUUCAUAUUCGAGUCGAAGGCCGAAUCAACUUGGAUCAAUUUGUUAUCAAGCGACGAAAGCGGAGGUUGAAGACAACACCAUGCGGCCGCACAGGCAAAACCAUAUGUGGCCGCACACAUGCAUACCGAAAACCAAAAGUGCAAUUUCAGUUGAACCAUGCGACCACAUAGAUUUACACCAUGUGGCCGCACAGGCCAAAAAUUUGGCAAAUUUUCUAAUUUUGGCAAUUUGCCAUAUUUUUUUAGAUUUGAUUCUUUUCCAUAUUUUGGAGAUUAUACUCGACUUUUGCACGAUUUUUACCUAGUUUUUAGGUUUAGUAUAAAUAGAAGUUUCCAUUCAAUUGUUAAAAACCUUUUGACAUUAUUGAUAUUGAAUUAAAGUGAGGCGUAUUGUCUUCUCUUCAUCGUUCUUCAUUGAACAAUUUCGAACUUAUCAAGUGUUAACUUGUGGCGUUCAAACAACCGGAUUUAAUUCUUGGAUUGCGUGAUCAAGGGGUCUUUUAAGCGUCGUUUUUGUUGGGUUUUUUAGUUCGACUUUCUUUUGGGUUAAUCCUAAACUUUGGAUUAAUUUGGCUUUCUUGAGUUCGUCAAUCUCGUUGUGGGUUUCGUAGUCAACGUUGCUAUGGGGUUCCCAUCAGUUGGUAUCAAAGGUUUGGCUCCAAAUUAAUUGAAGGUUAUAUCUUUUCUUUAUUUGUUUGGGUCGUUAAUUUUUCUUUCUUAGUUUUUCUUCAUUCUUGUUUUCUUUUCAUCGUUUUGUUGAGUUGUUGGUAGUUUACUCACCUUCUUUCAUCAAGGAGUAAAAAAAAGUACAAAAAAAACGUUACUAUACAUUAGAGGUACUGUUCAUCUCGAUGUAUUGUUCACAAAAAAUAAAAAAAUAUAUAUAAAAAAAAUUUGAUAUCAUUGUUUUAUUUUAUUUUUUUUUUCUACCAACAACAAUUCCUACAUUGUGUUUGAUUUUUGGGAUAUUCAAUUGGGUUCGAGUCUUUCAUUCUUCUUUUGAGUCUAUUCACAUAUUCGUGUCAAAACAUUCAUCUAUUCCACUUAUUGAAGUCCUUUGAGUCUCGUGGUCUUUGAUUAAUAUUCGGUUUGUUUGAAUUGCCGGUAAAACAAUUGAUUUAGUUCACUUGGUUCUUUGAAGUGCUUGGAGGGAGACUUUGAGUGGUAAAAAGCCGAGUGGUGAGUUUAAUAGAGGGAAAAAGUCAUAGUGAGUGUUUUCCGAGUGAAAUCUUUGUGAGGUAUAAAAAAAAUUGUGUGAUAUGAUGUCGGAAAGAGAAGGUUCUAAUUCAAGCCGAAAUGGUAAUGACAACAAUGCAUCAGAGGACAUGAUAAGGAGGUUUGAAAGGGUGCUUGGUGACGUUAGGGAGAAGGUGGAUAGGCAAGGGGAAUGGAUGGCACAAAUGGGGUACUACAAUUGCUAAUCUUAGCCGGGGACAAGUGGAGAUGUCUAAUGCUAGGAGGCUGGGUAGGCGUGAAUCUAGGAGAGGAAGGUGAGAUGAGUAUCGUAGUGAUGAGGAUGAUUUUGAUGAAAAUGACAUUGAUAUGGGUUGAGCGAGGCAUAGGGGGGUGAUAGGAUGGAAAGACGGGGUAGGAAUAACUUGGGAGAUGAAGUAGAUGGAAAUUUGGGGAAUAUUAAAAUGACUAUUACGCAAUUUAAGGGGAGAAGCGAUCUGGAAGCAUAUUUAGAGUGGGAAAGGAAGGUUGAGAUAUUUUUGAGUGCUAUAAUUAUUCGGAGGAGAACAAGGUAAAAUUGGCGGUGCUUGAAUUCGUGGAUUACGCGAUAUCUUUGUGGGAUCAAGUACUUACAUCACGAUGUAGGGGUCGAGAAAGGCCAAUUAGCACUAGGGAUGAGUUGAAGAUGUUGAUGAGGAGGAGGUUUGUUCCAAGCCACUACUAUAGGAAAAUCCAUCAAAAUUGCAAAGUUUGUACCAAGGAUCGAAAAGCGUAGAGGAUUAUCACAAGGAGAUGGAAAUUCUUAUGAUUCGGGCUAAUGUGGAGGAAGAUCGGGAAGCUACCAUGGCACGGUUCUUGAGUGGGUUAAAUCGGGAUAUUGCAAAUGUUGUAGAGUUGCAACACUAUGUCGAAAUCGAGGACAUGUUACAUGUUGCAAUGAAGGUCGAGAGGCAAUUGAAGAGGAAGGGGACAUCUAGGCAACCGUUAGGUACUUCGGCUCCUAAUCCAACAUGGAAAUCGAAGUGGGAUGACAACAACAAGAAUAGGGCUGCACCUAGAGGUAAAAAUAAUUGGCAAAAGGCCAAGGAUGAAAAUGCUAGCAAACCAAUAUCAAAACCAGAGGUACAAUCGUCGCGCAAUCGGGACAUCAAAUGUUUUAGGCGUUUGGGAACGAGGCAUAUUGCUUCUCAAUGCCCAAACAAACGGGCGAUGGUGUUGCGGGAUAAUGGAGAGAUUGUGAGCGAUAGUGAUGGCGAGUUUGAUGACAUGCCGACGUUGGAGGGUGUUAGUGAAGAAGAAAAAGUUGAAGGGCCGGUUGGGGAUCUAUUAGUCACAAGGCGAGAUCUCACUACUUACGUCAAAGCGGAUGACUUGGAGUUGCAACGGGAGAACAUUUUCCACACUCGAUGCCAUGUCAACAAUACGGUAUGUAGUGUUAUAAUUGAUGGUGGUAGUUGUACUAAUGUAGCUAGCGUAUCUCUUGUAGAAAAAUUGGGUUUAACAUUGUUGAGACACCUGAGACUUUAUAAACUGCAAUGGUUGAAUGAGGGUGGCGAGGUGAGGGUGAAUCGAAGGGUGUUACUUAAUUUGUCAAUUGGGAGUUAUAAGGACGAGAUAGUGUGUGAUGUGGUGCCAAUGCAAGCGGGACAUAUUUUAUUGGGGCGACCAUGGCAAUACGAUAGGAAGGCUAUGCAUGAUGGGUACAAAAAUCGAUAUAGUUUCAUUAAGGAUGGAAGGACCAUUACUCUUGUGCCAUUAACACCGGCGCAAGUCUAUGAGGACCAAUUAAAAUUGAGAAGUGAGGAAGAGAGGAGGGCAAAAGAGUUAGAAAAAAUAAGAGCAAAUAGUGAGUUGGAGAAAAAGAGAGAAAAUGUUGAGAUAGCCAUUAGAGAGAAAAAAAGAGAGUGCCCCGAGAGAAGAGAGAAAACACGAGCGAAUUUAUUUGCAAAAGAGAGUGAUUUGAGGAGGGUGGUAGUUGAGAGGAAAGAGAUGAUCUUGUUCGUUUAUAAGGAAUCACUCCUCAAUUUUGAGGAAACUAACCCACCCCUCCCUAGUUUAGUUAAGUCUUUGUUGCAGGAAUUCGACGAUAUAUUUCUGGAGGAUGCACCAAGUGGAUUGCCGCCUAUUCGAGGCAUUGAACAUCAAAUUGACUUCAUACCUGGAGCUGUCAUUCCAAAUCGACCGGCUUAUCGAAGUAAUCCCGAGGAAACCAAGGAGCUUCAAAAAUAAGUGGAGGAAUUGAUGAGCAAAGGAUACGUGAGGAAAAGUAUGAGUCAUUGUGCAGUACCGAUUCUGCUUAUACCAAAAAAGGAUGGAACAUGGCGAAUGUAUGUGGAUUGUAGGGCUAUCAACAACAUAACGGUAAAGUAUCGUCACCCUAUACCUAGGUUAGAUGACAUGCUUGAUGAAUUACAUGGUUCUUGCAUAUUUUCUAAAAUUGAUUUAAAAAGCGGGUAUCAUCAAAUUCGUAUGCGGGAGGGUGAUGAAUGGAAAACGGCUUUUAAAACUAAAUAUGGUUUAUAUGAAUGGUUGGUUAUGCUGUUUAGACUCACAAAUGCACCUAGUACUUUUAUGCGUUUAAUGAAUCAUGUUUUACGUGCUUUUAUAGGAAAAUUUGUAGUGAUUUAUUUUGACGACAUAUUAAUCUAUAGCAAAGACCUAGGAGAGCAUUUGGAACAUUUAAAGUGUGUGCUAAUUGUUUUAAGGAAAUAACAACUCUAUGCUAAUAUUAAGAAAUGCACAUUUUGUAUGGAUAGAGUUAUAUUUCUUGGAUUUGUGGUUAGUGCUAAUGGGGUAGAAGUAGACGAUGAAAAGAUAAAGGCUAUUAGAGAUUGGCCGACACCUAAAAGCAUAACAGAAGUUAGGAGUUUUCAUGGUUUGGCUAGCUAUUAUAGGCGAUUUGUGAAGGAUUUUAGCACUAUCACUCUACCACUCACGGAAGUAGCUAAAAAGAGUGUAGGUCUUCAUUGGGGUGAUGAACAGGAACUUGCAUUUAAUACUAUUAAAGGUAGAUUGUGUGAAGCACCUGUUUUGGCAUUACCUAACUUAGAUAAAACAUUCGAGAUUGAGUGUGAUGCAUCAGGAAUAGGGAUUGGAGUAGUUUUAAUGCAGGAUCGAAGGCCUAUUGCAUACUUUAGCGAGAAAUUGAUUGGAGCUGCUUUAAAUUAUCCUACAUAUGACAAAGAACUUUAUGCACUUGUUCGAGCUUUGGAGACUUGGCAACAUUAUUUAUAGCCGAAGGAGUUCGUAAUACACACCGAUCAUGAGUCACUAAAGCACUUGCGGGGACAAGGUAAAUUGAACAAGAGGCAUGCUCGGUGGAUGGAAUUCAUUGAGACCUUUCCAUACAUCAUUCGGUAUAAACAAGGUAAGGAAAAUGUGGUGGCGGAUGCGUUGUCGCGAAGGUACGUAUUGCUAACUACUCUUGAUUCUAAGUUACUUGGGUUUGAACAUAUUAAGGAAUUGUAUGAAAAAGAUGUUGAAUUUUUGGAUAUUUAUUUGUCAUGCAUAAAAGGGGCGGUUGAUAGGUUCUUUAGGCAUGAGGGGUAUUUAUUUCGGGAAAAUAGGUUAUGGGUUCCUAAUUUUUCUAUUCGGGAGUUGUUAGUAAGGGAGGCACAUACUGGUGGAUUGAUGGGACACUUUGGGGUUCAAAAGAUUUUAGAUGUAUUGAAAGAGCAUUUUUAUUGGCCUAAGAUGAAAAGUGAUGUUGAGCGAAUUUGUAGUCGAUGUAUAGGUUGUAGAAAGGCUAAAUCUAAGGUUUUACCACAAGGUUGUACACACCUUUACCUACACCUAGUGAGCCUUGGGUUGAUAUCUCGAUGGACUUUGUUUUGGGUUUACCUAGGACUAAGAGAGGUCGGGAUUCUAUUUUUGUGGUUGUAGAUAGGUUCAGCAAAAUGACACAUUUUAUACGAUGUCACAAAACUGAUGAUGCCAUGAAUAUUGCUGACUUAUUCUUUAAAGAGAUUGUGUGUUUACAUGGGGUUCCUAGAAGUAUAGUGUCGGAUCGGGAUGUCAAAUUUUUGAGUCACUUUUGGAGAGUUUUGUGGGAUAAGUUAUGCACUAAGUUACUAUUUUUCACAACUUGUCACCCACAAACAGAUGGGCAGACCGAGGUAGUGAAUAGGACUAUGACACAAUUGUUACGCACAGUAAUCAAUAAAAAUUUGAAGAGUUGGGAGGAGUGUCUACCAUCUGUUGAAUUUGCAUACAAUCGAGCUGUUCACUCUACUACAUCAUAUUCUCCAUUUGAAAUUGUAUAUGGUUUUAAUCCACUAACUCUUUUGGAUUUAAUUCCUUUACCUGUGAAUGAACGUGGUAGUUUAGAUGGCAAAAAGAAGGCAGAAUUGAUUAAGUCACUCCAUGAAAAGGUAAAAGCACAAAUUGAAAACAAAAGUAAGUUGGUUGCAUCGCAGGCGAACAAAGGUAGGAAGCGCAUGACAUUUGAGCCAGGAGAUUGGGUUUGGGUGCACAUUUGGAAAGAGCGGUUUUCGGAGCAAAGAAAGUCCAAGUUGCAACUGAAGGGCGAUGGUCCAUUUCAAGUGAUUGAAAAGAUAAACGACAAUGCUUACAAGUUGGACCUUCCAGGUGAGUACAAUAUUUCGGCUACUUUUAAUGUAUCUGAUCUCCCUCUGUUUGAUAUAGGUUCAGAUUCGAGGACGAAUCCUUUUGAAGAGGGAGGGGAUGAUAUGAUCCAGGAGUCGAGCCCGACGAAGGCAAGUGUGAGACGAGACCCGUUGAUAGUCGAUGGCGGACCAAUGACGCGAUCAAGGGCAAAGCAAGUGAAACAAGCGAUGAGAUUGCUCGUUCAAGAAACAAUUGAUGGAACCAUGUUCAGGACUCAAAAUGAAGCAACUUUCAUGUUCGGGUCGAAGGCCUAAUCAACUUGGAUCAAUUUGUUAUCAAGUGACGAAAGCGGAGGCUGAAGACAACACCAUGCGGCCGAACAAGCUAAAGCAUAUGCGGCCGCACACAUACAUAUCGAAAACCAAAGUGCAAUUUCAGUUGAACCAUGCGACAGCAUGGAUUUACACCAUGCGGCCGCACAGGCCAAAAAUUUGGCGAAUUUUCCAAUUUUGGCAAUUUUCCAUAUUUUUUUAGAUUUUGAUUCUUUUCCAUAUUUUGGAGAUUAUACUCGACUUUUGCACGAUUUUUACCUAGUUUUUAGGUUUAGUAUAAAUAGAAGUUUCCAUUCAAUUGUUAAAAACCUUUUGACAUUAUUGAUAUUGAAUUAAAGUGAGGCGUAUUGUCUUCUCUUCAUCGUUCUUCAUUGAACAAUUUCGAACUUAUCAAGUGUUAAUUUGUGGCGUUCAAACAACCGGAUUUAAUUCUUGGAUUGCAUGAUCAAGGGGUCUUUCAAGCGUCGUUCUUGUUGGAUUUUUUGGUUCGACUUUCUUUUGGAUUAAUCCUAAACUUUGGAUUAAUUUGGCUUUCUUGAGUUCGUUAAUCUCGUUGUGGGUUUCGUAAUCAACGUUGCUACGGGGUUCCCAUCAAGUAAAUAUUGAAAACACAUAAUUAUACAGGCUAGAAAAAAUGUACUUUACGUUCUUAUUCAUUUAGCUCCCUAUGAAAACAUUAUUUGCCUCAUUUUGAAAGAAAAUAAUUUAUUUACCACAUUUUAAAAGAGGACAGUGCCCCAUGUGCCAUACAUGCACUCCUAUUGUUACAUAAAAUAACCCAGUGCACUAUUUUUUCACAUGCAUUUACAUUAUUCAACCUUCUUUUUUUAUUUCGUGGGGUCCAUUUCCUUUUUCCAAAGCAACUUUUGGCCGAAAAGAACAAAGAAAUCUCUUUUUUUUUUCACUACAUGGGACAAAGAAAGGGGUAAGAUCGUAAUUCUAUGCUGCAAUGACACGACAACAAUGUCUGAAUUACAUGACUCAAAGGCUGUAGAUCACAUUGAAUUUCACGAAAACGUGUUAUAAUGCCAAAAUAUAUGUUUAGAAAUCAAACAAAGAUGGGGCGAUCUUGGUCAAUAAAGAGGGUUGAAAAAUUGAUGAAAUAAUAAAGUACUUUCCUGGGGGCCAAACACACGAUUUGACAAGAGGUACUAAAAAUAGACAAAUUCUUAUUAAAACAGGUUCACGGGUUACAAAAGUAGAUAAAUUAUAUUAUUGAAAAUAACUAUUCUCGUUGUUUAAAAAAAAAUACGAGAAAAAAAUUAUUGAGAUUUUUUCUUUUUUUACAUAAUAUAAGUUCUUUAUACUUUAUUUACUUCCAAAUUAUUUUUGACACUCUAGAUAUAUUAAUCUGUUUAUUAAAAUAUAGUUUCAAUAACAAUAUAUAUUUUAAUAUUUAUACCAAAAGAAGUCUAGAGAUAAAAUUAAAUAGCGAAAAUUUAGGAUAAUUGGCACAAAACAUCCCUAUCGUUUGCAUUCAUUGUGAAAUCAUCCCUAUUGUUUUAAAUUUGACAUUUACAAUCCUAUUUCAACCUUUUUUUGCGAAAUAGGUCCUUUCUAUCCAUUUCGUUUGUUCCUUCCGUUAAAUAUACACAUGGAUUGCAUUUAAAUCAAAUGAAAAAGGUAUAAAAGUCAAAGCACCAUUUUUUAAUUUAAUGAGUGGACGUGAAGACUGGAAGAGAGAGAUUAGAAAAGAAAAAAUUACCUGGAUAAAAAAUAUAUUAAUUUCAAGAGACACAAAGCGUAAAAAUAAAAAUAGAAAAAAAUUUACUUGAAUUUUAUUUUGUAUACUAAACUGUGUUUGUGCAAAGUAUGUGAAAACAAACAACAAAUUCUAUAUUAUCUAAAGUCAUUGUAUGAAAAUAAAUAGUUGUGAAAAUUUUGCGUUUAAUUCUUCAAUUUUAUUCAAUUUUUUUAUAUUAUCUAAAGUUAUUGAAGUGACGUAUUUUCUUUUUUAUUCAAUUUUUUAUUCAUUUUUUUGUUAUUAAUACUUUAUUGAAAAUAUUCUAUUUACAAAAAUGAAAUAUAUCUGAAUAUUUACUUACAAAUAUUUGUAUUCAAUUUUUUACUGUAAGUAUUUUUACAAUUAUAAGUUUUUUUUUUUACUUUUAAAUAAACUGAAAUAAUUUCUUUUUUAUAAGUCACUUUUUACGUUCGAGAUAGUGUAAUUUUUUAUCACUAUUUAAUUUAAAAAAUAAAAUAUAUUUAAAUAUUUAUACUUCAGAAAUAUAACGUUCGAUUUUUAUUUUUAUUUUUUUUUACUUCUAAGUAGUUUUUUACAAGUAUAAGCCAAAAACAAUUAUCGGAAUUUAUACUAUUUUAAAAUUUUCAUUUCAAAAAAAGAAGAAUACGUAAAUAUUUAUAUUUAAUUAAAUAAAUGAAAUAUAUUCAAAUAUUUAACCUGUACAUAGCCUUUACCAAAAAAAAAUCAUUUUUUCGUCAAAAUAACUUUAUGUGAAUUUUAUACUUAUAAAUACUUUUUACAUUUUAUAAACAAAUUUAAUUUCGUUAUUAGUAUUUUUUUGUUUUUCAUAAUCUUGUUUGAAAAACGAAAUUAUUUUUUUAGAUAUAAAAAACUUUUUAUAUUUUAAAAAUAAAGAAUCGCUUUCCUAUAAAAAAGUUUUUUUACAAAAAUAUUAUUACUAAUUUUAUAUAAUCUAAUUCAAAGUUGAUAAUGUGAAAAAUGGAGAAAAGGUACACGUUCAACUGUUUUCGAGUUGAGCUUGCCAACAGCCAAUUAAUCAUCCGCCAUUUCAGUAUAUUAUCAUCUCCAAUAUCCAAUACUUUGAAUUUAGUGUACUGUCAUCUUUGACCUGCAUUUUCAUUGUCCAUUAGUUUGAAUCUGACACGCAAUCUUUCUUCUCUACUUUUUCACGCAAUCAACUAUCAAAUAUUUAUUUCAGUAGAAAAAUAUGUAUUUAAAUCAUUUCUCUUUUUACAAAGUAAUUAAUUCUCUAUUUCUAUCUAAAAUAUUAAAAGUUACAUAUAACUAAAAAAAUCAUGACUAAUAAUAAGAUUAAUUUAAUUUAUAAAAUGUACAAAAAUAGCCUAUAGACCGAUUUUUUUCCUUUAUUUCCUUAAGAUUAAAAAAAAUUAAAAUUCUCAAAGCGACAUAUAGAUCAAAAAAUAAUUUAGUGUGACGUCAUUUUUAUUUUUAUGUUAUUUUAACUAUUUAUUUUCAUUUCCUUUCAUAAUUUCAACAUGGAUAUUAGGGAUUCUGAAAAUAUCCAAUAGUGGCUAAAAAAAUUACAUAACACUUGAAUAAAAUACAUUCUUUACAGUGAUUAAAUCACUACAUUCAAUUACUCCAUUACAAUCAAGCAAAUUACAUUACUUCAUUACAAUUAUGAAGACUGACGUGAAUGAAGGAAAUAUUCAUUAUUUAAAAUAUCAAAGACAAUUUUUCGUCUAUAUAUAACCAUCAUGUCUGGUGAAAUCGAUUCUAUCGAAAAUCCUAGAACAAAGCGUUCUAUAUAUUUAAGCACGAAAACUCCACAGUUCGGCCUGUAAGAAUUUUUUUUUUUGUAAUUAGUACUUACGAAUAAAUAUCUAUUAUAUUAAACAAGAAUUAUUUUCAAUACUUACCCGUUGUUUGCACAGGGUGGAUAUGUUAUAAUCUCUAGCUUCAUUUCUUUAUUUCUGUGUUUGCUUAUAUCCCGUCUUCCUGCAAAACCUUUGUCGAACAGUAAAGAAUUAAUCACGUUAACUGUCGCGUUCGCAUGUGCCUUUACUUGAUUCGGUGUAUACUUGUUGUGGCUGCAAUCGUAUAUCUGAAAUUUCCACUCCAAAAUAUUGACCAAAAAAAGGUACCAAGUAUUUCCGGGAAAUGAAUAUGAAAUUAAAAAGUACUUACACCCUACCCCUGGACGACUCUCUACAGGCAUUUUGCCGUUCACAUAUUUAUUCAGAAGAGUUCCAUCUGGUUUACCUUUAUUAUUUCCCGCUUGAAAAUCCCUUUGCCAAAUCAUCAUUUUGGCACACUCGUUUUCAAAUUGAAAGUCCAUGAUUGUAUAUUCUUUAGGCACAUGGGUGCAACCAUUAAUAAUUAAUCGUCUCAACAACUUCAGCUCCAAUUCAAUUGCCUGGUGGAAUGAAUUGAUAAAAAUCAAAUAUGUUAAGUAUGAAAUAAAAUUAAUUUUUAUGAAUAAACAAUACUGACCACAAUAUUUAUAUCUUUUGUUCUAUCCAAUAAAGUUUUCAACCAAUCUCUUCCAUAAAUGUUCCCAAUGGCAUCUUCCAAAUAUCCACUGCAUAGCAUAAUUAAAAUUAAAGUUGCAUAAAUCAAAAUAAAAUUGUAGUAUUUAAACCAAUAAUAAAAAAUCAUCUUUCUAACCUUGGUUCAUUCUCCGUUAUCCAGUUUCUAAGAGUCGAGUAUUUUUGCAUAGAAUAGUCUUCCAAAGAACGUCUUCUAGACGACGAAGAUUGUAUUUGUUUUCCUUUUUUUUCUUCUCUCGUUGUGAUGUUCAGAACUUUCGACUUGUUGAGACGUUGAUGCAUCCUUCAGUCGAUCAUCGGGAAUUGGACAUGUACCAAUAGGACUGUCUUCUUGAGUACAACUAAUAAUGACUUCCAUGUCUGAUUUCCAUUCAAAUAAUUUCUGCAGCGUAUUCUUAUUUUGUUCAUCGACAUAAUAUCGCAUGGAAUCUAAACUGGUAUUUACAUAAGAGUGCAUGGUCUGGUAAUGGUCUUCUUGCCAUUUUUGUUGUUGUUGGAAUAAUUGUUUCUCUUUCUCCAAAUAUGUGUUAAAAAAAAACUUGAUAAUGAGUUAUCUAUGUAGGAAAGCAUAGUAGAUUGCAUAUAAUCCUCCUGCCAUUUUUGGUAUUGUUUGAACAAUUGUCUUUUAUUGUCAUAGACUUCUAUUCUCAAGUUGCCACAUAUAUUAAACACCUCUUUUAUUAUGUCUUGCUUCUGGACACCAAGUAGUUCUAUCAUCCGGUCUUCAGUUACAUAAUUAGAGGUGCUAGAUCCAAAAUUAGGCCCCGCUACUGGUGAAGUUCUUGACGUACUAGGAAUGGUCGUCUCUGGCACGUAUAUAUUAUCCCUUUCUUGCUCAAAAGUAUCCUCUGGGAUUUGUUGUGCCACAUUGUCUAAUUCUCCACCGACGAUGCCAUCUAAUACACGAUGUUCAUUAUCAGCUGGCAGUGAAAGAUUUAUAUACCAAGAUAUCUCCAAUUCUUCCUCCAUAGGAUGUAACGUUGAAAUAACCUGAAUUUGUAAUUUUAAUAAAAUAUCAAAAUAUUUUUUUCAUUUUGUUUUUAAAUAAUUAAAUGCAAAUGUAGUUAUAUAUUCAUUAAAAUAAAUCGUACCUCUUGAGUAGUCAGAAAAUGCUUAAUCGUUUUUUCAGUCAGCAAUUUAUUAGGCCUCUACUUAUACAUUCGUGAACUCUGUGUUGUUUUGUAUCGACACCAUCCAAAUUUUUUUCCAAUUUCUGGAAAUGCCUCAUACAUCCAAUACUGUAUCGCAAUUAUAAAUUACAAUUAUUUUUCUCUUACAAAUAAAUUAAGUCAACAAAAGAAAAAAAAUAUUAAUAAAAUACCUGAAAUGCAAAUGGAUACCCUCGUAAUGCAUAUUUACAAUCUAUUUGUUCGUUUCGUUGCACUCUUUCUGCUCUUUGCAAUUGUGAUUCUUGUAGUGAAUUUAACAAAAGAAAAAAUCUUUUUCGACCCCAAGGAUAUACAAGAAAUUCAUCAAGAUGCUCGACUAUACCAAGAGUUUUGUAAUCAAUAAUUCUUCCAAUUGGUUUUAUAACACAUUUCACCAACAUAACUAAUCUCAACUUAAAUUUAUCUACUAAGUCUUCACAUUCAUGGAAAACUUCAAAUAGCAUUUUCAUGCUAAUUCUUUGACUACCAUUGAAAUAGUGAUUUCCAUGACAAUUGUUGCUAUGAUCAAUCUCCAUAACCGGUUCAUGACAAGGUAAUCCAGUGAUAAAACAAAUUCUUGCAUACCAAAUCUAGCAGUACGAUCAUCUAAUUUUACCCAUACUUCGUUAUUUUUGUCACAGUCAACAAGCCGCAUUACGAAUUCAUAUAUUAAUCUACUACUAAAUAGCUCUUCCUCUUCUCUAUAAAUAAUUCCAGAAAAAAUCCAUAAAAAUUACUACACAUUAUAGAACAUUGUUGAUUUGCAUCUAUAAAAUCUAUAAAGUCUUUAAGAUAUUCCCAACUUAGAUAUUGAGUAAUAGUAGUAGAAAACCAUUGAUUUGGAGACAGUAUAUAUUCCAAAGACAUCUGUAUAAAUAAUUUGAAAGCAAACUAUUUGUAAACAAAUUUAACAAUUUUAAACAAGCAGCGAAAUAAUAUUUAUACAAAUUCAAAAAUACAUGAACAGCAAAAAAAAAUACAAAUUCAAAAACCUCCGUGCACGGGGGUUCCCCCCUUAAAAUUUCACUUGUAUAAAUAUGGAGGUAAAAAUCUAAAUACUUACCUUUUGCUAUGGAUGGUGCUUGCUGAAAUAUGUUGGCUUUGAUUUUAGGUAGAGAAUGAAGAUUUUGGGAUAUAAAAGGAAUGGUAUAGAUAAGGAUAAGAUAUAAAUGAUAUGUGUAGUAGUAAAAAGUCUUCUACACAAACAAAAUAUUCUUUUUUCACUAUUUAUUAUACAUAUACAUAUUUCUAUAUUAUUUAAAUUAAAUGAAUUGAUCUAUAGCAUCAUUUCUUUUUCGACAAAUAAAUAUAAAAUGUAAAUAUUUCUUCCAAUAUUAUUUAAACUAAAUCUUAUCUUCAUUCAUUAAAACAAUUCAAAACUAUUUCUAUAUUAUAAGUACAACUUCACUUCUCCAUGCUAUAUAUUAAACGUCUGGCGUAGUCCUCAUAUGUUUGCCUAUUCCAAACUGUCACGUUUUCAAAUUUUAAUAAAAUAAAAUAAUAAGAACUAAUAAAAUAAUCUUAUUUACCAUUACAGCCAUAUCUUUGUACUAUAAAUGAAAUUUGAAAGUAAUCUUCAUAUUUUAUGCCAGUGAUUAUAUAGUAACGUAUGACUAUUUAGAUAAUAAGGUAUGGCUCUUGAUGAGGUUUUACAAUGUAAAUUAUUUUAUUUGUUUUAACCAUAAAAAAAAAAGUUUCAUAUUCAGUAUUUCCUUUUUUUAGUUUAUUUAUCCCAUCUAUGCUUCAUUUUUUACAACUGACACAUGAACACAUAAAUACUCUAACAACGUCCUUCCAACAUCGUAUACCCAAUAUUAAAAUAUUUAUUAAGCCACUAUGUCUCAAUUUUUUUUUUAUAAAUAGGCUAACACAAAGCUUCAGCUUCACAUCUGCAACUGCAAAAACACAAAAAUUAUCGUUACCAUUUAGAACUUCCAUACUUUAAGAUAUUCUAACUUCUACUCAUGCUGUCUUCUUCUUCUUCUUCUUUUUCUUCCUACAUAUCAACAAUUGCUAUAACAAAAUGGCUGCACCUCAUAAAUUCAUUCCACAAAUUUCAGCUUCAGAAACAAAUUGGUCAGCAAAAGUGAUCUUCGCAGGAAAACAAUCCCCAAAGACUGCUUGGAAUUCCAAUAGUCGUAAUCAAAAUCUUACUCUCAUCGAUUUAGAGGUACAAAUAUAACUCUUGUUUCAAUAAAUUUUUACCUAUCAUUAUACCUGUAUACUUUCUAAAUGUUCUCAUCUUUUUCUUUUUUUGAACAAGGAAACAAAAUCACAGCAACAAUGUAUGAUGCCAAUAUCAUUGUACUAAACGAUCAGUUCGAAUUUGGAAAAACAUACAUUGUGUCAAAUACAACAGUUAAAGAUUUCAAAAGUGAAUUUCGGAGUUCUCCUGGACAAAAAAUGUGGAAUAUAACAGGAAGAACAAAUGUUGAAGAAUUAAAUGAAGACAAUUUGAAUCUCCUAUUCUCAAAAUUUGAACUUACUACGUUUGAUCAACUAGAGAGGCAUAUGGACAAAAACACAUACAUAAGUAAGAUUUCUACUGCAUUACAUUUAAACAAAUCAUUUCAUAUAACAUUUCAUAAUUUAUUUUUUACGUACAAAUUUAUUGCAUGCAAAAUGACAUAUAAAAUAUUUCAUAAUUAAUUUUUACGUUCAAAUUUAUUGCAUGCAAAAUGACAUAUAAAAUAAUUUACGUAACCUUGUAGGCGUGAUGGGUGUCGCUAUAGGUGUUCGACAGAAACGUCUCAUUCAAACUAACUUUGGUACAAAAGCUUAUCUAAAAGAUGUAAUCUUGAUAGAUAAAGAAUUCAAAAUUGUUAUACUAACAUUAUGGGAUACCUUUGUCGAAAGAGAAUGCACUUCGAUAAUUGAACAUCUUCUAAAUAGACCCAUGAUAUGGGCUACAAAUCUCAAAGUUUCUUCGUUCAACGGUAAAUUUCUCUUACAAAUACAGUUCCAUCUAUAAUAUUAUUUUUUUUCAUGUAAGAUAUUCCUAAUUUCUUUUGUACAGGCAUCACACUUUCGGCCAAAGCAGUUUUUUCAUUAAUGUCCAACUACAUGUUGUUGCGGAGUACAAAGAAUGGUAAUACAACAUACCUGAUAUACAUAUUGCUUAUUUACGUACAUUUAAUACAAAAAAAAAACAAAAGUUCUAUUUUAUAACUAAAUAUAUCGUUAUUUCUUGUAGGGUGGAAGCUAACAAGGAAGCGCUUGACAAACUGAUGGAAAAUAAGCCUUUUAUUGCUGUCAGCCCACCCAAACUUUCUCCUCCUACUGAUAAUGAAUUGACACCGAUUGAGGAUUUAUUAGGGGUGUAUCUAAGGGUCCUUCUAUACUAAUAUAAACUGAAUAUAAUUAAUAGAAACACAUUAUCUUUAAUUUCACAAUAAAUAUUAUAGAAACAUCACGUAUUUUUCUCAGUCGUAUCAUUUUAUCUAAUUACAUGAGACAUCUCCUUUAACAGAAGAAAUUCUACUGGGUGAAUGCACGCUGGAAAAUAGCUUCAAAACACCAAAAAUUAUGGUAUGUGUCUUGUAACAACUGCAAGAAAACUUCCAACGCGAACUUUGGAGAAAUUUAUAAACGUCGAUUCUGCAAGUACGAACACUCAAAAGCUAUCCCAAGGUAAUUUAUUCUAUUAAAUAUAAGUUCAAAAAUUUACUAGUUAUUACUUCAGGAACAAGGUACAUAAUAAAUGGCUGAAAAAAAUGCAUUCUUUAGGGUAAACGCUUUCGUACAACUUAAAGACAAAUCUGGUUCGUUAGAUGCAACCAUCAUAGGAGAUGUAGCAGAAGUGUUACUGGAAAGUAGCGCCGAUGACUUAAAUGAACCAUCUUCAGAAGGUAAAACAUCAUGUUCAACAUCCUUCGAAAAUGCUUUCUUUCUUAACAACAAACAUGCCACUCUAUUGAAAUAUAUUUCAUCGACCAUAGGAAGGUAUUAAAGAACUCAAUGACGUUGUCAAAUUCGAAAGUGAUACAGAGCUACUCUUUUACCUCAAGGUAACAGAAAAGCGCCAUGACCCACCUGAGUACCGCUUUGAAAUCAUAUUUGUGUUCAACUCUUCCAAGGCAAAUCAAAUUGAUUCCUCAAUUGUUACAGAAGAUGCAAACAAGCAAAUUGAAAUGGAAAAAAAUUCCAACAACAAAGACGUAAAAGGCAAGAACAAGGUGUCCGGACGACCCGAUGACAUUUCCACCACGACUAAAGAAAUCAAUCCACCGCAUGCAAAAAGGUCUCUCUUCCAACCAUCAAAUGUACCUAUUGAAGUAGAGCCAAAAUCCAAAAAAGGGACUCACACAGGCUCCAAAAUCGAUGACCGAACUAUUGGGAUCACCUCAAAAGAAAAACAUGAAUGAAUAACAUCUAUGAUACUUUUACGACUACUUUUGUGACAGGAGACAGUAAUCAAUGUUCUAUUUUGUAUUUCUGGAAAAAGUAACAUGAUCUAUCUAUAUCUUUGUCUAUGUGCAAGACUUCAGAUUCCACCAAAUAGAAAUAAAUUACUACUCUUGAAAUUUAAAGUUUGUUGUACGCGUCUUACUUUCCUUUUUCUCCUUUCCAUUGCAAAAACAGUAAAAUGUUACUAUAUUAAAUCAUUCCAUUUCAAAAUUAAUAUCAUAGCUUACAUCCAAUGAUUCUGUUUUUAACUAACGAAUUCACUUUUUCUUUAAACAAUAAACUAAUAUCAACAUUAAAAACUAAACAAUUUUCAACAUUAAAAACGCUAACAUAACGUUCAACAGAAUCCUGCCUGUGCAAUGUAAUUAUAAAAGAAUAGACUACUGUCAUGCCACUGAGUAUAACUCGUAAUAUAUAUGUUGCAUUUAUUAAGAAAUGUUGGCGGAACAAAAACACACUAUAAUGAAUUCUACCAAUUUUGAAAAAUACAUGCAUGAUCUUCAUAAUAGCAUGCGGCAAAUUUUGGAUCUCUUUUUUAUUGAAUUAAAAAAUCCUAAUUGUUGACCUAUGGUUGAUUAUAACCUCAAAGGCAUACAAGAUAAGCACUCCAUCAUGCCUUGCCUCUUCUACAGACCUAGUCUAAGGCGAUUAGGUCCUACCUUUAGGCGCCUUAAUUGAAUAAUUUUCAUCUGAGGCUAUGCAACACCUCUCCGCUGUAGUGCAAAUUUGAUGCGAUGGACAUCUUCUACAAUCCUCGCCUUGACCAAGUUGCACAGAGUACACUCUAUAGAAUGAUGUGAUUGCUCUGAAAGUGGUAAAACCAUGCCUUUGUUUGGUUUCCAUUUUAAAGAGAUUUUGGGAAAAAAUUUAUUUUAGAAUAGUGAUUUUUUCUAGAGUAUGUGUGGUUAAAAAAUAAUGAAAUUUUUUUUUGUUUACAUGUAAUAUUAUUAUAUUAGAGAAUGUGUAGUUAAGAGAGAGAGAGAGAGAGAGAGAGAGAGAGAGAGAGAGAUGCAUUUUGAUAUAAAAUGGAGCCCAAACAAGAGCCAUUUUAGAUCAUAGCUUUUCAGCCUAGUUCGGGUUAUGGGAGUCCCUAUAAAUCCUUGGUUUCCUUCCUUCAAAGGCAAUCCAAAAACUUGAGUAACAAAAUUCUUGUAAUUGCAAUCGACAAUUCUCUUUUCAAAUUGGUACCCAUUAUUUCGUCCAUUGCUUCUCUCCAAAACCCAAAUAUAUUCUUCUUCGAUUGACUUGAGCAUCAGAGAGUACGUAGCAGUCACAACCCUGCUAGAGCUACGGCCUUGUGUAGUCUAAUGUGGUGUCCAUUUGUGCAAGUAACGUACACAUGGAUAGAAGAGGAGCUAAGAUAUGUUGAGAGUUAGGUCUCGUAGAUUAAGUGUUUCUUACCGGGAUUCACUUGGAACAUGUUAUGACACAAAAAGCAUAUGAAACAUCAGAUCUAGUACAUAGCAUCACACAAAAAAUAGAUUUUAUUACCGAAGCAUAAAGAAUCUUAUCCACGUGAUCUCGACCUAUAUUUUCAAACACAUCCUUCAAGAGAAAUCCAAUGCCUUGAGGGAUAGAGCCCUCUCUUGGACUCUUCUAUGCUAAAUUUUCUCAACACUUUGUUAAUGUACGUAGAUUGAAAUAAGUCAAGCAAUCUGGCAAAUCCAUCCCUAUAGAUCUUGAUUCUUGGAUGUAUAUUGCUUCUCCUAUAUCCUUCAUGCAGAAAUUAUUGGGCAACAACAAUUUCAUAGAUUGAAGCAGGGGAUAUUGUUUCAUAUUAGUAGUAUGCCAUCCACAUACAAAACUAAGAACACAACUUUACUCCAACUAGCUUUCUUGCAUACGCAUGAUCCAUCUUCAUUUUUUUAUAAAAUCAAAAUUUUUAAUUAUAUCAUCAAAACAAAGAUUCCAACUCUUUCAAGCUUGCUUCAAUCUCUAUAUGGAUAUUUAAAGCUUGCAUAUCUUGUCAGGCUCUUUGGAUUUAGAACCUUCAAGUUGUCAUUUAUGAGGGUUCGUGAAGAUUCAUGUUAAGAAACACUGUUUUGACAUCCAUUUACCAAAUUUCUUGAUCAUGGUAUGUUUGCAAUAAUAUGCUGCUAUCUCAAGCAUAAUCCAAAAUUUUCUGCUCAUUUGUGCCUCAUGCUUCCACCACUAGAUCUUACCAGCUAUCGCUACUUGGAGAGCCACAAAUUCCUAAAAAUACCCUGUAAUGCACCUUGAAUGUGGUGAACAAGAUGACCGACAUAGGUAAAAGAUAGAAGUUGAAGAACAUAAUUGAACUACUACAUAAAUCUAACAAUUUUAGUGGGGUGAGGGCAUUUGACAAUAAUCUAGUUCCAAUUACAUUCUCAGGACCUCCUAAUUGCUGGCAUCUGCCUGUGGUGGCAUUUGCAUGCAUUGCAACUGCACUUCCUGACAUUGCAAUUGACAGUGCUAAUUACUUAGUGAGGAGUGUGAAUGAAGGUAUUUCCUUGUUGAAACAUACAGAGAAAAGCCUGGGUAGAAAUGGAUCUUUAACUAACGUCAGAAAAGCUAUAGAUGCUGUAUGGGCAGGACUUGAAUUAUAUGUCUUAAGUGGCAAGAUAAGGAGCUCUGUAAAUCGAGUGUCCAAGGCAGAAGGAGGCACUAGAAUAGGUUUCCAAUAAAGCUGAAAGGACUGUAACAGAGUUCUUCUAGCGGAGCGGAGGUCAUCCUCAUGGAAAACCCUCUGAAUUGGCCAGUUAAGACUAUAGCUGCUAACUAAAUUAAAUUUCUGACAUUCUGUCAAAUACAUUCUUAAUGGCUUAUUGCCCCAAUCUCUCCUUGUCCAAAACUAGAAUGUUCAACGUUAGUCUGUUUGAAGGGUUAACUAUCUACGCAAUCCACAGAGAACUAUGAUUUCAUCCACUGACGACUUGGAGCAAUUCCUCCCACGUGGCAGGUUUUUCCCUGGGUUUGUUUUUCAAAUUUUCGCGUUUUUUCUCUUUAGCAUCAAUGUUUUCCCAAUCAUCAAAUUGGACAGAUUUGAUAAUCCUACCUUCCAACAACUGAAGGAGUCCUCUCCCGGGCUUUGCUGAAUCAGAUGUUAGUACUCCUUUCCCAAUGUCCUCAGAAAUGCUCACAACCUACCCAUGGUUUUUGGGUGAUCAGUAGAUUUAGUUAGCAAAAAUUUAACACGAUCCCAGAUUAUCAUUGAAUGAUAAAAUUGAAAAAGAUUCACUGACGAUGACCAUGGAUAAGAGAACAUCGUGGAAUAAGAAGUACACUCACUGUUUCUUCAGCACAUCUUCAACCAUCCACACACAUAUAAGCCAGUCUCAUAUUGUGGAAGAUCUCCGGAAGAAUUGGCCAAGACUCGACCUCCAAAAUUUGGAACAAUUCCUGAAAAACAAACUAAGAUAAAGACAAAGAUAUGAAGGAAUCAUAUUUCUUUGCAGUUGAAAAAUCAGAGUUUGAAAAUUAUGACUCCUGUCAGAAAUAUCUGAAGCACAAGAUAAACUGCCGUCCAAGAAUGAAGUUAAGACUUCUCUAAUUUUCAAAUCUGCUAAAUUACAUGCUUGUAUGGCCUGGCUUUUGAGUUGGGAUUAGAUAACGACCACAUAAAUUGAGUAAAAAUGAAGCAUAAACCUAUAUUACAAUACCAUUUUUUUCGAUGUACCUUUGUAAUGAUCAAAUGGUAAACUGUCAAUAGCUACUGAUUUAUAACUAAUGCUCUUCAGCACUAACCUGCAAGCAACAAGAGCACACACUAAAAAUAAAAAUCUAACUAAUAAUUGUAUGUAGUAAAGAAAUCCUCUCCCCAUUCCCAUAUGUAAACCUUCCUCUCUUCAUAUUCUUUUGAUGUUAUCCUUUUCGCCGGAAAUCUAAUAGUAGUUGAAAAUAUAAUGGUCAAUCCAUCCCCAAAGCCCUAUACGAUACAUUACAAUAUCGAGUAUUUCACAAUUUCACUUAGCAUCAACUGAAUUUUAGCAUACGCAAGUAAAAUCAUAAACGGUAGAGAAAACAGAGAUGGAAUACAACUUCAUGGGACGUUUACACUCAUAAGUUGAGCUCCAGGGCAUUUACCCGCAUGAUGUGUCUUCAAAUACUCCUGUACCAACUGCAAUUUAUUUUCCCUGAUCAUCUCCUGUAAAAAAUAGCAUAGGUAAACCAGGGAUAAUUUGUGGUUCUUUUGCCAGAUAUAAAACAUGCUCAAUUCAAAAAUGUACUACAUUAAUGUGACCAACUCUGAACUUGAAUGCACUUUGAUCACCCAAUAUAAAAUGAAUAGAUAAGAAACUGUUUAUAACAGUUUCAAAAACCUGAAUUUUGUUUACUUAUACACCAGCCCACAUGUUGGAAUCAAGGAAGAGCAUAUGUUCGAUUAAUAGUGACAUUAUUGACAAAGAAAAAAAAAAUGAAGGCAUAAAACUUUUGGUGUCAUGUAUAAACAGCAACUUUAGAACCCUUAAAAAUUCUUUUGAGUGGCAAAACAUAUAAUCUCUCCGUGUUUUAAUAUACUCAGUCAUUGGUGUGCAUACUCUAAUUUGGCGCAUAACACAAGUCUGGAGCAAUGAUGCAUAAAGUAAAAUUUGUAGAAAGCUGCUGCAAACUUCAAGAACUCUCAUUUCAAAUUUUUACUCUACAAAAAGAAUUAGGAAAAUACUCUCUACACGAUAAAAUGUAAAAUAUUAAGUUACUUUUUGCAAAUUGCAAAAGAUCUUCAACCUCAAUGGAAUUUCUACUAUCAUAAUAAAAUUGAAAAGCAUAAACUUUCAAAAGACUCUGCCUCUUGAGUGUACAAAGGUUGAGGAGGAAAAAAAGACAAAAUAUACAAAUUGGGAAAUUGGGAAAACAACUGAAUGAAGGAACAAAACAUAUACACACAAGAGAGAGAAAAAGAAACAUACAAUCUCCUAUUUUCCAGACCAAAAUCUUAUUUGAUUCCGAUCAUAUAAUGUCGGUCAGCUACAUUUUAACCCUACCCCCACUCGCCUCCUCACACGGUUUCCCAUUAAUGAUAGUGUGUCGUUUCUAUUCGCGGUUGGAGACGUUCCAAAGGUUGUUUUCUUCAUGACCAGGAAGAUGAAGAAAAAUGUAUUAAACUUACACACAUGACCUUGUGCUUUCUGAUUCAUUUCAACUUUAAAGAGGCCUGCUUUGCCUUAACCACUAUUUGUUAGAUGUGGUUUCGGAAUCAAGAUAGAACGAGAAGUGCUUCUUGUUGAAUGUCAAGUAAGAGAUAUGGAUAAUGAGUCAUAAACUUAAUUUAAAGCAAAUUUUGAAAAGCUUCAAAUAUAAUAUGCUUUCAUGUGGUUUUAUCAGAAAACAUUGUAAAUAAACUCUAAAUGCAUAAAAACAUUCCUAAGGCCAUUCGAAUUAUAUUCUCAUCACCCAAUUCAAUGAGUUGAUUAAUCAGGAAAAUAUUGCAUAGGAUUUAAGAAAUUGGAAAAUAUCUAUUUUUUGCAUACUUCAACAGCAAAAUUUUGAUGCUGGCUACAGCUCGAAUAAUAAGCUCACAUGCUAUAAUGCGCAAGAAAUAAUGAAUAAAGCAAAAAAGAAAAAGAAGCACUAUUAUUCUUACAAACCUUUUCAACAAAAAUUAUUAUGAAGGAAAUUUACCUCGGAGAGCUGUCUCCUCAAGGCGUACACCAACUACAUUACCACUUCUAUCAUCUGACUCUAGAAACCUAUCUGGUUUACAAAAGAAGACUAAGUGCAGUUCACGUUGACCUGGAAGAGGAUGAGAAGGUCCUGAUCAGGCUGCCUUCGAAAUCAACUCAUAAACUCUCCUGCAGAUCCUAUAGUUCUUCAUCUCUACCUUGUCAUAAACCAAAAAAAUUAAAAAUAAACCAUCUCCAAGUAUAAAGUGAAAAUGCAAAAAUCGAAUAUAAAACUAGACCAAAAAGGCUAUAGAAUUAACUAUGAAAUAAAAUGCACACAAGUUAUUGUAGAUAAAAUUUACCUCAUCUGCUAGGGUUGUAACUAAAUCAGCUUGCUUAACGUGAAUCGAUAAGUCUUUAAUGCCUGAAAAAAGAUUCCAGUUUACUAGUUGAACUACGCUUUUCAAAAACAUCAUACAUAUCAUUUAUGAUAUAGGUUAUUGAUAAGUGCGUUUUUAUGCACUUAUAUGACUCACAAGCAUGACUAAAUUACAAGCAAAGUGUUUGAAUUGUGACUUAAAUUCAUUUAAUUCUUACAUUGUAGGUUAUAAUGAUGGACAUGGUGGAAUUUAUGAGAAAAAAUGAGCGAAAAGGACCAAAACGAAACAAAGUGAAAGAUCAGGGAUUGAAAUGCAAAUAUCCAAAAGAUGAACCGAAGGAGCAAUCGAAGAUUUGAUUGAGCCAAGUACAAAUUGGAGGUAUAAAUUGGUCGAUGGAAUGAGAAGAAGGAAGAAAUGAGGCCAAAGUGGAAGAGAGGAAAGUUCAAGGACUAAAAUGAAUACCUUAAAAAAUGUGCUCUAUGCGACUGCAUGUGUUAUACCUAUGCGGUCGCGAGAAUGGCUACCAAAAUUGAAAAUCCCAAAAUCUUGAUACCUAUGCGGUGGCAUAGGUUAUACCUAUGUAGUCGCAUAGGCAAAAUUCGGGGAUCAAUGCUGCAGUUACCUGUUUACGCGAAAACUCUUUUGGAACUCGAUGAAGACAUGAUAUAAAAGCCUAGACUCGUCAGAAUUAGGGUCAAAAUGCAUUGGAGGAGAACAAAACACAUCUUGGAGACAAAUUUGAGGGAGAUUUACAAAGGAUUUCACAAAGAACAUUAAGAUUUCACGCGUAUCUAUAAUCCGGUGAUGUUUUAUCUUCAAGAAUUCAUGUAUUAUUUUAUGUUCUCCAUUAUAGGCUAGAUUUUGUUGUACUAGGAGAUCGAUGAACUAUGUAAUGUAAUAUUUGGAUUUUAAUUUUUGCAAUUUGACAAUUAAACGUGUAUUCAAUUAUUUGAAAGGUUUAUAUGCAUGAAUUUAUUCUAUAAUUAAGUGCACGUAAUUAUGUGAUAUGUAGUGAUUUAUUUCUUGCAUUUGAGAGAAGCGAAAUAGAUUUGACAAGGUAUAAAUCAUCGUAGGGUCUGACAGGGGAUAGAAAUAUAUCUCUAUGCUUUGCGUGAAUCAUUAAUUGCUCAUAAAACUACAUGCAUUCUUUUGUAUAUGCUUCCGUCAUAGAGAUAUAGGCUGGUGGUAUAUAAGAAUAGGUUCAAUAUUGCUCAAGAGAGUGUGUUGGAUAGAUUUAGGAGCAUUGAUUCUUCAAUAAUCCAAUAGUGUUGUCAAAUUGUAAAAUUCGGGUUUUUUAAGUAAUCAUUACAUAGGAAUUCGCGAUCCUAGUGCGUUUAAUUCUGAUUGAAAAAAAUCAACUUGCGUUACAAUCAUCACAUUGCAUUUAAAUUCAUUUAGAUAGAUCAUUUUGCAUUUUCAAUUCAUUCAACAAACAUUUUAGUCAAAUUAGGAUUUUCCCUAAUUAGGGUUUGCUAAAUUAGGGCUUUCUUAGGUUAAAACUUUAAAUUUGAUAAAUUCAUUUCGGUUAUGGCUAAGGUAGAUAAAGUUGAACUACUGGAUCUCUGUGGGAUGAUAUUUGGAACUUAAUAUUCAACUUUAUUACUUGUUAAUGAACUGUACACUUGCAGCAGUUCAAAAUCGAAAGAAAUAAUUUCGUGAACAGUUAUACACUAUAAUGCCAACAAAGAACUACGUCAUAUUUCCAGUAGUAUAAGAAAAACUUCAAUAAAAAAUUUCAGAGUUCCAUAAGGUCCCUUUCACUCGAGUGAUAUGAUUCCAAAUCUUAGACAAAUGCAAAUAGAUGGCAUUACAAAGUUUCUCCUCCACCCCCACUCCAACUCCAACACAACCACAAACCUAUUACAAAAGACGAAUACACUCCAUAUGACUUUUAAUUGAAGCACGGGAAAAGGUAAAAUGGUUAGGUCGUAGUGAUCUAAUCCAUAUAGUUGUAUAUUAAAUUAAGACAUGAAUACCAAAAUAAAAUUAGUACAUAAACCGCUUGUUGCAUUUGGACGUGGAUUUUGUCUUUUUGUACUGAACAAGAUACGGAUAAGGAGUACAAGAUUAAGACCCAAAAUAAAGGGCAUUAGUGAAAUUAUGAAAAGAUAUAGUAUAUAUUAUUGCCAAUACUAGAAAUAGGUAAAGGCAAAUAAAUUACCAAGAACUUCACGUAGUUCUUUUGUAGUACAUGCUGCUUGUACUGGUCCACGUCUUCUAACUAAAUAAACUUUUCUGCAAUUAUGUUCGUUCUCUCAAGUACAUCUCCAAUAAUUACGCUAAAAUAUGCUUGAAUGAUACCACAAGGCAGCCAAUACAUGACUAGCUAUAUUAGUUCUUGCCAAUUCCAUGGUUGCACAUAAAAGAAUUCAAGGGACAGCAAGAGCCACAUUACCUUAAUAGCAAGUACAUGUUAUGGUCAAGAAGAUAGCAAAUUCUUUAUCUAUGAAGUUCCUGAGAACAGAAAAUUCCUUUUGUUGUAUCGAGAAACAUAUGCUCUUAUUAAAAAUGAAGAAUGCCCUGGACUAUAGACGUGUGUCUGGUUACCAUAAAGGGGUAAGAAGUCCAAUACCCUUGCAUGGAAUGGAAAGUUACUUUGAAAUUUUUAUUCCACAUAUAAUUUGGAUGGUGUCAUAAAACUGAGAUGAUUGUUUGCUGAAGUAUAUUAGUUAGAAUCAAGAUGACAGGAAGCAUAAUUUUUGUAAAUAUAAUCAAUCUUAUGAGAACUCGAGUAGGUUUCAAAAAUUCAGUUUUCUUUUAAAAUGCUACAUUCUAUUAAUAUAUAUCUGAUAAAGGUUUAAGUCUCUUCACAGAUUACACAUCUAACCAAUUUCUUUUAAACCCUACUCAAGUAAGCAGCUUCAUCCUCAGACAAUCACAUUCAGAAAAAUAAGAUCAUUGGUCAUAAGCUAUUGACCAACCCAUUUAUCGAUAAUAGAAACUUCACAGUUGAAAAAGGGCGUUGGUAAUCUAUCAACUAUAUUAGCUUCUACUCCUUUAUGUGCCUUCAAAAUCUAUACAAUCCAAAGUAUAGAGGGACAGCUAUGAUUUCGGGUGCAAAGGGAUAUUCUUCUAAAACCGUUUGCCUAUUCGUUUGUCCUUUCUCCUAAAUAGUGUAUCAUCUAUCUUCUGGGUCAUGAUUUCGUCCAUCCUCCAUUCCAAGUCUACUAUGGGCUGUGAGGGUUGCAAAACCGUCGUCCCUGGAGUCCUUGAGUCAUCGUUACCAGUUAGAUGAUAGGUGGGGGCCUCUAAGUUUGGUGGCGGGAACGUGGCUCUCUACGCUUGAUUCUUCAAGAGGGUCAUCAUUACUGCCAACUAAGCCUCAAAGUGCUAAACUGGCUUUGCGUUACAUACAACGAUAGUGGUGGUGGGUUGGGACCCCUUGCAGCUGACUUCGACUUCAUCUUUGCCUCAUUCCCCAUCAAACGUGUAUCACUUCUUGACAUAACCUUUAUCUUCAAUGGAGUUUCCCACAGAUGGCGCCAAUGAAAUAAUUGUGAAACAAUAACUUUGUACCCCUAGCUACGUACUGUGCUUCUACUAUUCCGACAAGAGGUUUUUCCUGAAAAAUGAGGACGGGGCUUUCUCCCUCGUUUUACCUCCGGCGUGAGAAUUAGUAUUGAAUGAAGAAAAGCAAAUAAGGUAUUCAGAUAGUCAAAUUUCUCCUGAGAAAUACCUAUUUCACCUUGGGUGUAUUUAUAAGUACCUAAAGCCACAUGAAUUCUGGAUGGUUACGAUGCCACGUGUCUCACAUACCUUUUCCACUACCCUACGUUCUGAGUGGGAGCAUCCAACUAUCUAACAGUUGGUUGCAUCCGUGACAGCGGUUCCGUAAUCGCUAUCCAAUUUAUUAAUGAUUUUAUGGCUAACUAUUGGGUCAGCCGCAUGGUAAUAGAUGAUCCCAUGGGGUCGACGGCCCAGCAUUGAUAUAGAGUAAUCAUGGGAGUCGUCAAUCGGGUAUGGACGUAGAGUACUCAUGGGUUCGACGGUCAGGCACUAACGUAGAGUGCUAAUGGUGGUUGACUAUCAAGCAUGGACAUAGAGGGCUCAUGGAGGUCGACGACCUAGCAUAGACGUAGAGUGCUCAUGGGGGUCGAAGAUCUAGCAUGGAUGUAGAGUGUUCAUGGGGUCGAUGGUCGGGCAUGGACGUAGAGUGCCUCAUAGUGGUCAACAACCAAACAUGAAUGUAGAGUGCCUAUUGAGUAGCUUUCACCUUGUUGGUCAUCGUAGACAAUUAAUAAUGUCAUCCAAUAUCACUAGCCACUCUACCGCUUAUCUAUAUUUAUCGAUAACGGGUAGCAUCUUCAUCUCUCCACGCAUUUUUUUUGUCUAGACAUCUUUCAUCGAUAGUUGGUAUUAUAUAAUUGGAUUGAACAGUCCAAGUGGCGUAAUGUGAUGUCAAUACUGCAUAGAUGACAUCCCAUGAGUGGAUUUGGGUUUUAGGAGGAAUCCCCCCCCAGUGAAUUCAAAGUCUUUGUUUAUAUAGAAAGGUGAGUUUUUCAUUCCUUUUUCCAUCAAUCUUCUUGCUCAUUCAAUAGUCAAAGUAACGCUCUUUUCUAUCUCCCUUUAAUUUGGGUUUUUAAUCUUACUUUUCUGCAUAUCAUGUAUAGAACCAUCAUUUCUUCUUUCUCCAACAAGAGCGAGAAUGAGGGAGUGAGAGUAUCCGUUGGCCAACGAUCGAUCGACGUCGGGCCGUUGACCAGCUGACCAUCGACCAUCCAUGUCAGUUGAUCAUCGACCAGCCAAGAGGUUGGUCACUCUUGGUUGGUCAAGCAUUGACCAACCGAUUUGAAGGCAUAAAUUGAAGAUUUUCAAAUUUUCUAUAUAGUUUAAUGAUUCGGGUGAUGACUUUCUAUUAUUUUCUUUAUAAUUCAUACUUUAUAAUUCAUACAUUAAUAUGCAAGGUUAAAAUCGUUCGUAUUAGAUGGAUGAAAAAACUCUUUGAUUCUUAGUUUUUAAUUUGAGACUUUUGUGUUUUUAUCUUAAUUCUUGCAUUGUGAUUCCAUUAAUAUGUACAAUUAUGUUGUUUUAAUGUUUGCGCAAAAUUAUGACAAUAAGUUGCUUAUUCGUAGUGUUGAAAAACUCACGAUAAGUAAAACACUAUUUAUGGAAUACAUGGACAAUAAAUAUUAGAAAUAUUAUUUAUUGCUUGUACGAUCAUGUGUGAUAAUCCUAAACGUCAAUGCAUAUUUGCCAUUAAAAUUCGGAUUAGGAAUAGGAUUGUCUCAUAGUAAUCAUAGGUUUAUAAUAUCUUGGAAAAGAAUAAUAAAUAAAAUUGAAAUUAUCGAUUAUCACAAUUGCAUGAAUUGAGUUAAUUAUCACUGGUUAAGAAUUAGAACUAAGAAUUGAUGAGUGGAGUCGAAAUCUAAAACAGUCACCCACAUUUGACUCUUAAACCAAUUGUUAUUAAUUUUACAAAUUUUUGUUAUAAAACCUAGUUAGUGACCAACCAAGAAUCUUUUGUUACAAUUACGAAUUUAAAUAUAUCAAAUAUGCUAGAAUAGAGCCUACUUCUCUGUAGGACGAUAACUUUCAUUACAAUUAUUACUUGUACAACUAACCCAUACACUUGUCGGAUUUCGACAGAACAUAAUGUAUGUCAUUGUGAAUCGUCUCUUGAUACCUUCUUGUUGACAAAAAUUUAUCAAAGUCAUCGCCAGUAUAUUCUCCUCCAUUGUCAAUCCUCAUACACAUGACAUUUUUUCAUAUUCAAGCUCCGCAUGUGCUUUGAAUAUUUUGAAGACUACAAGCAUGUCUGCUUUUCUCAUAAUUAGGUACACCCACAUCUCCUAGAGUAAUCAUCAAUGAAAGAUACAAAGUAUCUUGCACCUCCUAGGCAUAUAACCGGUGCUGGCCAAACAUCAGAAUGAACCAACUCUAGGAUAGCUUUACUUCCAAUAGUAGAACUGCUGAACUUCAAUCUGUUCUUCUUACUAGUAACACAAUGCUUACGAAAUGGUAACGAUACCUUUUUAAGCUUUGGAAGAAGCUUUUCUUCAGAGAAAAUUUUCAAACCAUAUUCUAACAUGUGGUAUCACAUCGUCGUUAAUUCUUCUACUGAAUUUGUCGAUGCAACAUAUACUUCUCCUUCUCGCGGUGUCUCUCCUUUAAGCAUAUACAAAUUUGCAGCUAUCUUUUAAGCUUGCAUUACCAGAAGUAUGCCUUUAACAAUUUUCAUGAUCCUAUCUUGUAUAUAGGUUUUGCAGUCAAUGCUGUCUAGUCGCCCUAAAGAUAAUAUAUUUUUCUUCAGGCCUUUUACAUGUCGUACUUCCUGGAUGAUGUGAAUUGUAACAUCAUUCAUUUUCAAUUUGAUGGUACCAAUAUCAGCGAUCUCCAAGGCAUGGUUAUUCUCCAUAAAUAUAAAUCAUCCUAAGAUAAGUUCAUACCGAUGGAACCAUUUCAUCCUUAGUGUUAUGUACCAUGUAGCUCCUAAGUCCAUAAGCCAGGCAUUAGAAAACUAUUUUUUGCUUUCAACAACUGGUGGUUGUAUAAAAUUUCACCAUCAUUUGAGGUGCUUGCUACACAACCUUGAGUUCUUGACAUCUGGGGACCUUUUUCUUUGGCUUCUUCAUUAUUUUUGAGAUUCCAACAAUCCCUUUUUAAGUGCUCUUUCUUGCCACAGUAAUGACAUUUGUUAUUCUUCUUACUUUUGGAUUUUGAUAUACUCAUAUUAUGACUCCCAAUGGAGCCACGUUCCGUUGAUCUUCCUCUCAUCAUCAGCAUCAAAGCUCAGCCUAAUGUAAACUUGUCAAUUUGUCUUCUUUGUUCUUGGUCCAACUUUCUUCUUCAAGAACCACAGUUGCAACAUCAUCGAAGUCUACACUUUCAAGGUUGUUAGUUAAGUUGAUGAUAAGUUGAUUAUAUGAAUCUGGUAGACUUUGAAGUAAGAUCUCGUCACGUUCAUCCGCAUCUUUAUUAUGCCCCAUUGAUGUGAGCUAUGAAAAUAAGGUGUUGAGGGUGUUGAUGUGGUUGGUCAUUGUAGUUGACACCAUCCAACGAUUUGGUGUCGUACAACUUUGUCAGUAUAUCCUAUAUCUCUUUGGCUAUCUUCUUCUUCGCCAUACUUGACUUGACAAUACUCUAUUGGCUAGUGCUACGUGAUAUUACCAAUUGCAUUGCCAACUAUCUCGUUCUACUUUCCAUCAUUAGUAACUGCUCGAAAUUCCGUCCAAUUGCCGCCAAGCAGUUAUCUUUUCUCAAAACUGCUUUUAUUCUCAUUUUCCACAAUGAGAAAUUAUUUUCAUUGAACUUUUCAAUCUCAUACUUCGCUGCAAUUUUAUUCACGAUCAAAAUAGUACCAUGUAUGUAAAUAGUGAACGAUCCUGUACUAAACCUGAUUCUGAUACUACUGUUAAGACAACAUGGGUCAAGUUUGGCUUUGAUGAAAAUGGAAUAGAGAAAAAUACAGUUAAAAAUGAACACAAAUAUUUACGCGGUUCACUCAAUUUAGGCUACGUCCACGGGAAAGUAUAGAAGAAUUUCACUAUAGUAGGAAAAUUAAAAUAAUACUAUCUAAAUACAAGAUGAUGACAACAAUUAAUCUCUAUUGUAAUAUGAAAAAUUAAGUAAAAAAUGCUCAAGAGAUAAUAUUAUUUUCUCUUUUUAAUUUUAUCUAUUUUUCUAUUAUCUUUCUCUCUUCGAAUAGUAUCAUUCAAAGAUUACAAAUUCUCUGAGAAUGAAAUUUCACUUGGAGAUGGGAUACAUUUUUCUACAGCAAUCAUCCCUCAUCUAUAGGCUAAUUCCUCCCGAUUAAUUGAAGUAUAAAAAUUUUCAAUGUGAAAUGUAAAAAGAUUGCUGCCUUCUAUUAGCUUUUAUAAAAUUCGCCCGCUUUCUCUACCCUCGAUUGACCCUCAUUUUUUGAAUGAAAAUGGGUGAAAUGGUAAUUUUUUUCUUUUUUUUUUAAAAGUGAGUGGUUGAAAGGUUGUGUGAUUAAAUAUAAGAGAGAGAAAAAUGAAAUUUAAUUUAAUGGGUUCAAAUGGGGCUUUAGUAAAUGGUAACAGUGGCAGAAAAUGAAUUCCCAGCAUGACUUUCAAAUAGAGCCAACCUUGCAUUAAAUGCAUGUACUUUUAUCUAAUUUGUCAAAUAAAGUGGCUAGAAUAUAUGCAUGAAUAUUGUCAUAUUUGUCAAACAAGGAGACUUUCUUUACCCAACAACUAUUUCAUAUAGUUUGUCUAAAUCUUGCUCUUCAUGAUUCUUUGAUCAGUCCUCUUGUUUGAUCAGCUUUGUUGAUGGUCCUUUUGACUUGUUUAUUGCUACGAUUUUCUUGUUAUUUUUGUGACAUUGUAGUGGCACUGCCCCUCAAACAAUUAUUACCGAGUAUAAAUAUUAUUCUUGUAAAGUAGCUCAAAAUCGGAGUACACUAAAAAUGUUAUAUUGUGGAGCCUAAUUAUUAUUGCGCAGAAUAAAAUUGGAGCUUUUAAUUCUCAUAAAAAAGAUUCAAUGGAAAGUCUUCGUUUUUGAGUCUUGUGCUUCAUUUGCAGCGAUCCAUUUGAUGCCUUAAUUACGUUGAGAAUAUCAAAAUUUUCAAUGUGAUUAAAAAAGAAAUAAUUUACAAGAUAUGAUUUAUUUCUAUCUAAAGUAUCAAUUCCAUCAAAUAUUGAACUGAAAAAAAAAUAUUCUUUCUUUCGAAAUCAUUUGAUAUAUAUUUGACGCCUUAGUCACAAGAUGAAGUAAUUCUUCAUCUACUAUAUAUUUUUCCACUCCAAAACUCAUCAUUUUCUUUCUUCAAUAUGUGGACUAAUCAUGCUAAUUUCCUUGGGAUUGUACAUGAUUGUUGGAACCAAGUGAUUAGGGGUACGAAGCAAUUUAAUCUUUGUAAGAAGUUAAAAUGCCUUAAGGGAGUGCUACGUAAACUCAAUGAAAAGCAUUUUGCCCACAUAUCCUCGAAGGCUCACAUGGCCAUUUUAUGGCUUAAAGAAGCUCAACUUGAGUUGCAUGAUGAUCCUUUUAAUAUUGGACUCCAAAGUAAGGUUGCACACUUGAGGAAAAGUGCUAUGUACCUUUGUGAAUCGGAGAGGAGCUUCUAUUAUCAAUAAGCAAAAUGAAAGUACCUUAAGGAUAGUGACAAAUGCACCAAAUUUUUUCAUUCAAUGGUGAAACGGAAUACUAAAAGGAACUUCAUUGCUAUGAUGCUUAAAGAUGAUGGUUCAUAUACUUCCUCUUUAGAUGAAGUGGCCAAUGAAUUUUUUUUCUACAGCAACUUACUAGGGAAAAACAGUUUGGCAGAACCUAUUGAUGUUGAUAUCUUAAAGAAUGGAUCCGUGUUAUCGGACGAAAUGGCAUUCGAACUUGUUCAAAGUGUUUCGGAAUAGGAAAUCAAAGAGGCUUUAUUUAGCAUCAGGGAUGAUAAGUCAAUGGGGCUGGAUGGUUAUGCCUCCUAUUUCUUUAAGAAGGCUUGGAAUAUCGUGGGUGUCAAUUUCAUGGGAGCGAUCAAGAAAUUUUUUUAUUCAUGUUCUCUCCUCAAGCAAACUAACCACACGGUAAUUGCAUUGGUCCCCAAAGGAACUCACGCUACCUCGUUGGGAGACUAUAGGCCUAUUGCUUGUUGCAAUGGUUUUUACAAAGUCAUCGCUGAGAUCCUCUCCUGCCGAUUAAGGCCUAUACUUGGUACUAUUGUUGACCAAGUACAAGUCGCCUUCGUGGAAGGUAGAAGUAUGACAGAGAAUAUCCAUCUUGCACAAGAACUUUUGAGGCAAUAUAAUCGUAAGAGAGUGGCCCCUAGACGUCUUCUUAAAAUAGACCUUAAGAAGGCGUUCGAUUCGGUGGAUUGGAGUUUUCUUGAAAGUGUGUUUCAUGGACUGAAUUUUCCAAGCAAAUUCAUUCAUUAGGUGAUGGAGUGUAUUACCACUCCUUCAUAUUCUAUUGCUCUUAACGGUAGUCUUCAUGGAUUCUUUAAGGGAAAAAAAAGGUCUACGUCGAUGUUAAACGUAAUGCCUCGAUGCUUCGAUUUUGAUGAUGAGGAAGUGAGCACUAUGCCGGUUUGGACUAAAUUACCGGGAUUACCCUUAGAUUGUUGGAAACCAAGAGCAUUAGCAAAGAUUGUUUCAAUCAUUGGCAAACCAAUUGCUACGGAUAAACUCACGACUACGAAGGGGAUAUUUUCUGUGAUCAAACCUCGGUGGUUAUAUUGAUGGAUUGUUUAUCCAAUUUCGGAAAGGCAUCCGGUCUUAGGAUGAAUGUUGACAAAUCAUGCUUGUACACGGCGAGUAUUCAUGGGCAAGAGCUUGACAAUAUAUAUGGCCUUACAAAUAUGUCUAAGGGAUUGAUGCCAUUUUGUUAUUUGAGUAUCUCACUUGCGGCACAAAAACUGAAAAUCAGCUCUUAUGAUGCGUUUAUCAAUAAAAUUUCAGCAUACAUUUGUGCGUGGUCUAAAGCUUCAUUGUCUUAUGCGGGAAGAGUGGAACUUGUGAGGGCCAUUCUUCAAGGAGUUGAAUGUUUUUGGCUCUCCAUUUUCCCAAUUUCGACCACGGUAACCUCAAGAGUUAUUUGCUUGUGCCGUAAAUUCCUUUGGGGGUCGAAGAAACCGUUGGUCGCCUGUCGCCUGGAACAACAUUUGCCUACCGAAAAGUGAUGGAGGACUUGGUUUUCGUGACAUAAAAUUCUAGAAUUCUGCUUUGCUAGCCAAAUCUUUAUGGAAUAUCCAUAGAAAGAAGGACAUAUUGCGGGUCAAAUGGAUUAACGAAGUGUAUUUAAGGGGAACGAAAAUCUGAGCUUAUACAGUUAAGGAGGGAGACUCGACUCUUAUUAAGAAACUUCUACAAAUCAGAGACUAACUCAUUAGCCAGGAACGAAAUACCCAGGUUGUAGUUGGCAGGUUGCUGGAAUGGACUAAUCUGGGCAGUUUUUGCAUUGACAAAGCAUAUGGUUUUUUUAUAAAGGCUGGGGUUAAGAAGGCAUGGGCAAUGGAGGUCUGGAGGCCAUACAUCAUGUCGAAACACUCCUUCAUACUCUAGCUUGGUGCGCAAUUCAGGUUGCUUACUAAGGACAAAUUGACAUAUCUUAAUAUUGAUGUCAUGUGUGUUUUAUGUGGAUCAAAAGUGGAGGACUGCCAGCACUUUUUCUUCCAAUGCCCUUUUUCUUCUUGCAUUUGGAAGAAUAUCAAGGAAUGGUUGGGGAUUACAAGAGUAAUGACUACUAUUGCGAGUGCAUUGAAGUGGAUCAAAAAGGUAGCAAGAUGGACGUCUUGACAAAGCAAAGUUAAGAGGAUUGCUCUAGCUUCUUCUGUCUAUUAUAUUUGGAUGACAAUAAAUAGGAGGAUUUUUGAAGAUAUUAAGCCGCAAGUUGAUAGCAUUAUUAGACGGAUCAAAACACACGUAUACAAAGUAAUGUUCUCUUUGUAUCCAAAUGUUUUGAUCCAAUUUGAGUCUCUUGCAUUGGAUCCUUGAUUUGGAUGUUUGUAAAUGUUUUUGCAUUGUUUAUUUUGUCUUCCUGGGUACGCCCGGAGUAUUUGUAUAGGUGUUUAAUACCUUGUUCGCCCGAGUAUGCCUGUAGUACUUGUAUUUCACUUGAUUUUUGAUUGUCUGGAUACGUCGGUGUAAUUGUAAUUAUGCUUCAUCUUUGAUUGCCUGGGAAUGCCCGGAGUAUUUGUAAACAAUUUUGAUCAAUAUAUAUUUAUUUACAUGAUCAAAAAACAAAAAUAAAAAAUAAAAAUAGAGUAGCCACCUUAGGUCAUAGAUAUGCAAACUAAAAGAUUAGACUGAAAAGUUGACUAAGCAUGUCAACGUAAUAUCUUUGAUCGAGUGCCUGUAGAAAAUGUCUUUCACAAGAUAUGCUAAUCACCUUGAAAAUACACUUCAAUGGGAUAUGACAUAUCAUUUUGAAAGUAGUUUACUUUGGACAAGGUGUCUAAGGACUUCGUCGAGUCACCUAAUUACCUCGAAGGCUCGUAUAACAAAGCAAAGCAAGGUGAUGGUUUUAUACAACAUCAAAUGAAAUGUGGUACAAGUUUUCAUGUGUUAGAUUCUUGAAUUUUUACAAGUUUUAGAUAAAACUCUAAUUAUUAAAUAUAAAUAAUAUAUUUUACAAUAUCAAUCACGUGCAACGCACGUGUUACGCACUAGUUUGAUUUAGGGGAGUGAUUCUAUCCAUGUAAUCAUUAAAAGGAAAUUGUACCUAUAUUUUAUUUAAGACAACUAGUCAACGUUGAACGUGCAGUGCACGUUAUUUUGAAAUUUUUAUAAGUGCUGUAAAAAUAAUAUUUAAUAUCAAUUUAUUGAGAGGAUUUGUUCAAUCUCAAAACAACUAAAUAAAAUAAAAUUUAUGACAGAAAUUUAAGAGAAGAAAAUUUUACUUAUAAAAUUCAACUUCUAUGAUUUAAUUUUUUUUUUUUUUGAAUUAAUAACAAAAAAAUCGUACAUGAUAAAGAUUUUAUAGUACAUAUUGAAAAACAAAAAGUAAGGUAUUAUUGAAAUAAUUGAAUUGUGGUAGGUUAAAACCGUCCAGAAAAUUAUUCUCAUUCGGUGUGUUAAGUUACGGUUAACGUGUUGGUUGGGGUUUAUUCCAAGGGAGUGACGCUCAUCUUACCAUUAUGAACUUCACUUUUUUCAAUAAUAAAACAAAUUUUGCUUGACUAUGAAACUGGAAAAAUUAUGACAUUGAAUGUUGAGAAUUUUUUUAUCUUUUAUUGUGGAAAUUGAGCAAGUUUUUCCACAAAUGAAACUUUCAUUCUUCUAAUAAUCCAUUCUAAUAAUCCAAAAGAAAUAAAUAACUUUUGGAGACUUCAUUUUCCAUCAAUACUCCCCCCUUUCUAGUAGAAUGCACAUAUUUUCUUAAGAAAAUAAAAAUAGUUUAAACUUUAAAGUAUGCAUAAAUGUAAGACAGGCUUAUAAAAUAUGCCAAAAUUUCUGUUUCGAGAAGAUUUUUUCAUUUUUUAUAUAUAUAUUUUUUGAUAUCCAGAAGAAAAGUUUUUAUUUUGUUCCCUCCCUCCAGAAACGGUGUUUUGUUUUCUCCUGAAAUCAUGACAUUACAAGUCAAUUUUUUAUUUGACUCUGACGAAAUUAUUGGUAUUUUUUGAUGGAUGAACAUGAAAUCAAUGACUGGAGAAAAACAAAGGAUUACAAGAUAGCAAGCUAUUGGGAAGCAAUUGAAUAAGUUGAUGGAUUCAUCAAACUGCAGUUCGGGAUGUUAUAGUAUGGAUGUAUGCAGUUUACUCUUCUGUGAUUCUGACCGUUAUAUACAAGAAAACCUGGAUUCGCCGAUGCCAUGGAUUGGAAUAUAUAUUGCAGCAGCUUCUGCAGUUUGCUCCCUUGCGAUGGCUGCUGACGCCUUCCACGGGAUUAGGAACAAAAUGUUGUGGUUCCCAUGUAAGUACUUCUCUCUCAAUGCAACUUCUUUGACGCUAUUAACUGUGGCAAUGAAAUUACCAAUGGAUUUUACAGAAUCUAUGUUGGGAAAGUUCGAUAAGCUUGCACGGCUUAGUAGCCUCUUUUUUAUGUCAACUGCUAUGGCUAAUUUUAUGACAUCUUUGGGAUCCAUGGACGAUAAUGAGAUUCUACUAAACCUAACUGCUUUGGGGAUUCUGGUAAUUACCGUAAUCGUCAAUGUUUAUAUCCACCUUCGCCAAAUCAUACAUAGUUUUCAUGAUCCAGCAGUAGUGGGUGAAAAUCGAGAAAUUGUAGCAAUUAGUUUUAUGUUUCUUUCACUUGUUAUAUUUUGUUCUUCGACUUUGAUGGUUCCAACUUACAGAAGUUACAUAGAAUCCAAGUACCAGGAAAUGCACAGAAUAGCUUCCAAUGAAGGAAGAAUGGAAGAUGCAAAUUUUACAGUGGACAAAUUGAGAGUAGUGGUGAAAAAAUAUUGGCUAAUGGCAGCAACAGGGAGCCCCGAGUUCGUAUUGGCACGUUCUGUGACUUGCACUGCUUCAGGUUUGAUUUGUGUGUUCACUGCUUUCUUUUUGGUAGAAGCUCAUAUUCAACAAUUGUUUUGGCCCGGAGAAUUCUCGAAGCGUACUUCCACCUAUAAGUGGUCAAUUAAAUGGAUUCUAGCUACUCAGUUUAUUGGAGUUUUCGUGGGAACUAUUGCCCCUGCCUUCAGAUGGUUCACUGCUGCAAGCUUCAAGCGUUCAGAACUAGACAGUAAAAGCUUCAAAAGUGAAUUCAAAAUCGAGAAUUAUUGGAUUCAGAGGCUGGUGGACUGGAAAGAAAGACCAUUACCUUUACAAAUUCGACACCCCAGAGGCAAAAAGCUUCUUCAUGCAGUAAUAAGACUAAUUCUUAAUCUCUGCAUUGGAAUACAGAUUCUAAUUGUUUCGGUGAGCAAACUUGUACUUGUCAUUUCUGCCUCAUCUUUCCACCUCAUCGGUUGGUUGAUGAUACUUGUUGUAAAUGCCUCUUGGAACAAAAAAGAAUCAGAAUCAAGCAUUGAUUCAGAACUAGAUCUUACCCGUUAUGUCUUGCUACUUGAAGGAGAAGUACAACUGCCAAAAAAGACCGUAAAAAACAUCUGGAAUGAGGUGGACAAGCUUAUCCGGACAGGUAAAAGACAGCGGCCCAAGAACCUAAUUAAACUUCUAAGUAAAUCUAACAACUUCAAUGGGGUGAGAGAAUUUGACAGUAAUUACGUUCCAAGUUUACAUUCCCCGGAGCCUUCGAAUUGCUGGUCUCUACCUGUGGUAACCCUUACGUGCAUCGCUAUUGCACUUCCCAACAUCCCAAGUGAUAGGGGUAAUCAGUUAUUGAGGUCUGUUGGUGAAGGCCUUUCCUUGUCAAAAGUAAUAGAAAAAAGCCUGUAUGGAAAUGGAUCUCUAGUAAACAUUAGAAAUGCAGCAGAUAUAGUAUGGAUGGGAGUUGAAUUAUAUCGUAAAUGGCAAGAUAAGGAUCUCUGCAAAUCGAAUGCCCAAGGCAAAACCUCUAAGGAGACACUAGAAGAGCUUUCCAAUGUAGCUGAAAUGACUGUUAUGGAGUUCCUCAGAGACAUGAACGAUCUCGUCAUGGUGAACCCUCUGAAUUGGCCGGUUAGGAUUAUAGCUGCAAACUCAAUGUACCGAAUUAGUCGAACUAUUUUACUGGCCUAUGACAGUUACCAAACAGAUGGACUUUUUGACCAUUUAUCCAUCAUGAUUUCGGAUAUAUUGGCAGCCUGCCUUACCAAUUUACCCGAUGUUAUAACUAUGAAAAGUCAUCAUAAUUCUACGAAGGAAAGGAAAAAUUGUGUUCGUCAAGCUGCUCUACUUCUUGGUGAAACAGAAGAAAUUCUUGAAAUUCUUCAGCAACGUGAGCUGCCAAGCUUAGAUCCCGAUAAAAUAGCUUAUAUUGAAGAGUGGCAAGCUUUUUUCGAGCAAAACAAUGAAAAUCCAGAGAUCCCUACUUCAAGUAACGAAUUAUCGACACAACAAUCCAAUGGAGAACAUGAUGCUAUUGAAGUGCAGGGCUGAUGUGUUUCAAAGCUACAUCUAGUAAGUUGAAGCUGAAAGUUUCAUUCCAUUUAUUUCAAAUAUGAAAAAUAACGAACUUCCAGUAUUUAGGCAUCAAGUAUCUUUGUGUUUGAUGCCUUCUUUUCUUUUCUUUUCUUUUUUUUCUUUUUUUGUGCUUUUUUAACUUUUUUUUAAGCAUGUUAACUUGUUUUAUUUGGGAUGGAAUCUUACUGUAAUAUAUUCAGCCC